AACGAACGCUGGCGGCAGGCUUAACACAUGCAAGUCGAACGGUUGUAGCAAUACAGCAGUGGCAGACGGGUGAGUAACACGUGGGAACCUUCCUAGGGGUACGGAACAACUCAGGGAAACUUGAGCUAAUACCGUAUACGUCCGUGAGGAGAAAGAUUUAUCGCCCUUAGACGGGCCCGCGUAGGAUUAGGUAGUUGGUGGGGUAAUGGCCUACCAAGCCUACGAUCCUUAGCUGAUCUGAGAGGAUGAUCAGCCACACUGGGACUGAGACACGGCCCAGACUCCUACGGGAGGCAGCAGUGGGGAAUCUCGGACAAUGGGCGCAAGCCUGAUCCAGCCAUGCCGCGUGAGUGAAGAAGGCCUUCGGUUGU
rnacentral:rRNA from 1 species